rnacentral:rRNA from 1 species
AUGGUGAGCUACUUCGAGUGGGUGCAGAAUCUCCAGGGGUUCAUGUGGGACGAGGAGAAGGUGAAUCGGGAGCUCAAGACGUACAUGACCCGCAUGAGCUUCUAUCUACAAACUUUUGUCUGCGAUCUAUUUGUGACGACUUCUCCCAAGGUAGGAGCCACGUUUGUAUGUAUACUUCUCUUGAUUCGUUCUAUGUUGUCAAGUUCUCAUUCAUUUGGUGAUCUUCUGUAA